UACGUAGGGUGCAAGCGUUACUCGGAAUUACUGGGCGUAAAGCGUGCGCAGGCGGUUUUGUAAGUCAGAUGUGAAAUCCCCGGGCUUAACCUGGGAACUGCGUUUGAAACUACAAGGCUAGAGUGUAGCAGAGGGGGGUGGAAUUCCACGUGUAGCAGUGAAAUGCGUAGAGAUGUGGAGGAACACCGAUGGCGAAGGCAGCCCCCUGGGUUAACACUGACGCUCAGGCACGAAAGCGUGGGGAGCAAACAGG
rnacentral:rRNA from 1 species